GGAAGGUCAGCAAUAAUCAGGCAAAAUUAAUUCUUAACUCUUUCCCGCAUUCUCUUUCUCCCUCUGGGGAAAAAACAAAAAUUGCUCAUUGUUAAUACAUCCUUUUUGCCUCUAAGGGAAAUGGCAUUUGCACAGGAUACAUCUAUGCUUGAUUUAUUUUGAUAGAUUAUACUAAGAUUAAUGAUUUUUUAUGGUUUUGUUGCUGCAGAAAUAUUUCCUAUCUAGAAUGUUUCUGAUGUACUAAAGCCUUGAACAGUUGCUUUGUUUCCACUUAUUUGUGAAAGGGAAAGUACUUUCUUGCUUUCUAAUGCUAUUGUGAGGCAGGGCCUUUGAGACCAACUGGUUCAGAAAGUAUCUGAAACAAUGGAAGCAGAAGAGUUCAUCUAGAGAGCCCAUAGAGGCGAAGAGGAAGGGCAGAGGACACAUCUUGAAGGAUUCUAGGAGGUGGGAUAUGGCAGGAGGAGAGCAAGAUAAGUGGUGGAAAUUGUGAACUUGCUGACAAGUUUCAGACUGUUAUUCAUUCAGGAUUAUGAAUACCUCGUCUGAAAUUCCAAAGGUCCCAAUCCGGCAGAGUCAAUGGGGUUACAUUUGUGCUUCAGUCUGAGCACAUGCUGAAAUGCUUUGCUGGGUCCUGGUUUUACACUGAAAGUAUUUGCUCUUUGUGUAGCAGGUAACUGAAAAGAUCUCACAUGAGGUAAGAGCAGUAGAAUUGGGCCCAUGAUCACAUAUCCCCUUUUAUAGGAAUGUAAACGUUGCUUCAUUUUAAGGUAUAUUAUAUACUGUUA
rnacentral:lncRNA from 1 species